rnacentral:lncRNA from 1 species
GUACCUCAAAAACAGACCAAAAUCCUCUUGUUGACUACAUAUCGUUAAUACAUUCCUGCUGUUUAGUCAGUAGCAGACCUGGGUUUGAUUCCCCACAUAGGUGUGAAAUAACGUGUGAAGUCCUUUUCUGGUGUUCCCUUCCGUGAUAUUGCUGGAAAUUGAAUAUUGCGAAAAGUGGCUUAAAACCAUACUCGCUCACUCCCUCACACAGCUGAACCAAAAGACGUAAAAGUAUAUUUGUUGUCAUCCUGUUACACACUGCUGAGUAUGAAAGAGGAAUCGGUCAGUUCCGAGUCAGUUUGCUGUGUCUGAGUGGCAUAUUCAUAUGCACACACAACCAUACAUUGCUUCGAAAUUUCAUCUCACAUCAUUCCUUUUAUUGAAUACUCACUCCAACCGGCUGUAGGGUAGCCUAGUGGUUGUAACGUUUGAUUGUCUCACCAAGGAUGAGGGUUCAAUUCCCCACAUGAGUACGAUGUAUGAAGCUCAUUUCUGAUGUCCCCUGCCGUGAUGUUGCUGGAAUAUUGGUUAAAGCGGCAUAAAUCCCAACUCACUCAUUCACUCUUUGGGAACAGUACAGUAUAAUGUAUGGUGUGAAGGACUGUUUGAAUGUUGCUGGAGACUGACAUCAUCUAUGACAUCUCAGCAUUUGCCCCAUUGCCUUUUAAUGAGUGUCUGGGACAUCUAGUUUGGUCAGAUAUACUGUAUCAGUGCCCUACGGUAUGGUCACGUGGUGAUAUGAAACCUAAAGCUAUAUUACGCACAAGAAUACCUUAUUCCUUCAAAUUACUUACGUUAAUGUGUCAUGGUAUGAAAUACUUUGUUGUUCUUCAAUUCUGAGAAUUUAUGAUAAGAAUUUACGAUCAUGAUGGAUCAGUACGGCAUAUACUUUUGUCAGGGAUGCUGAUAAUUCUAAUUAAAUAUACACUUGACGUAUAAGGUUUGUGUCCGAGGGCGAUCCUUACCUCAAGUUGAGUAGUGUAGUUUCAUUUACUCAGCAGUUCAUGCUUGAUUCUCUGAAUUGAAGAGUAGGUACACAGUACACCUUGCUUGUCUCUUUGGGGAACCUCAGGCGUCUCAGGCAGGAAAUCAUUUGAUGUGUGUUCUAAAUGAUCAUGUUGUGUAUGGCAUGGAUUGUUAUUCAUGAUGUUAUCUACCUUUGCUUUGAUUGGCCUAGAUUUGAUUAUUUAUAGAUUUAUUGCCCCACACUGCUUGAAUAUUGCUGACUGCAGGCUCUUAGUGUCAUAGCAGCCUCCAGAUCAGACACAUGACUGCAUCAGCUUAUAAAACUGUCUGGCUUGUUAAAUAAUGGUCUCUUUCAAUGACCUGCUCACUCAAAAAUUUGCCCCUACAUCAUAUAUUUAAAAAUACUAAACCUGGAACUUAACCUUUUGCACUUGACCCCAACAUGUUUCACAUUGAGCAGUAAGUGGCAUACCAUCAAGAGGUCACAUUUUUUACUUUCAAAAUAACCCAAAACAUAAAUCCUCACUCUCUGCUUAAUCAGUUAUUUCCCCUGCAAACAAGAAUAUUGUUUUGGCUUGCCUUACUAAUAUAGAAUCAUCCUGGACUUGAGAUUGCCACAGAGAGCAUUACAGUAUUUUUUUCUAUAGAACACAAGGAUUCUGACUUAUACGGCUAGUCCAUUAAUGGAUAACCUUUCCAUGACUUGUGUCACAUUUUAGCUUAUCUCAGGAUACUUUUUCCUACUUUUAACAAUUUUGAACUAUUGAAAAAUAAGUUUGUAUGUAAGUGCAGCCUUUCAAAUUCCAGCUUGUCCGCUCACCCAAGACAACUCAAUUGUGUAGAGGACAAGUACAAAUCCAGUUAUGGUAGUCGUCAUUCACAAGCAGCAAUUGAGGGCAAGAAUUCUGAACCAGGUCUUGAUGCUACAAGUUUGCUACAGAUUGAAUAUUACUGACAGAAAAUGUAAUAGUAAAUACAUUUUUGUCUUGUUCAGGCUGGAUCAGCUCCAAACCCUUAGAACUGUGGUGCGUGUGAUUUACACUUCUCGAAGUGGACUCUUCCGGAUGUUUGAUUUGCACGCUUCUCUUCUCGGAAGUACUUCCCGCUCUUCUCAUUCACGAGCUUUAGAGCGAGCAGAAGAGCACGGCUUUCGGCUAUUCGAUAUAACCCAGAAGACUCCUCUUCCGGAACAGGUUUCUCUUCUGAGAAGACGUAUAAUCGCACGCGCCUCUUUUGAUUUGUCAAUGGGAGAGCCUUUAAAAGAUAGAAUUUCCAAGGCUGCAUGUGUAUAGUUUUCUAUAGUUUAUAGUGUCUGUUAUUUGUUUGGAACAUAAAUGUAUUUUUCAGCA